rnacentral:rRNA from 1 species
CGUGGGUAGCAAACAGGAUUAGAUACCCUGGUAGUCCACGCUGUAAACGAUGAGUACUAGCUGUUGGAUCUGGUGUAAAAGAUUUAGUGGCGCAGCUAACGCGUUAAGUACUCCGCCUGGGGACUACGGCCGCAAGGUUAAAACUCAAAGGAAUUGACGGGGACCCGCACAAGCGGUGGAGCAUGUGGUUUAAUUCGAUGCAACGCGAAGAACCUUACCUACCCUUGACAUCCAUAGAAGAACCGAGAGAUUGGUUUGUGCCUUCGGGAACUAUGAGACAGGUGCUGCAUGGCUGUCGUCAGCUCGUGUUGUGAAAUGUUGGGUUAAGUCCCGCAACGAGCGCAACCCUUAUUUUUAGUUGCCAUCACGUAAUGGUGGGCACUCUAGAGAGACUGCCGCUGAUAAGGCGGAGGAAGGUGGGGACGACGUCAAGUCAUCAUGGCCCUUACGGGUAGGGCUACACACGUGCUACAAUGGGCAUUACAGAGGGCAGCGAAGGUGCGAGCUGGAGCGAAACUCACAAAGGUGUUCGUAGUCCGGAUUGAUCUCUGCAACUCGAGAUCAUGAAGUCGGAAUCGCUAGUAAUCGCGGAUCAGCAUGCCGCGGUGAAUACGUUCCCGGGUCUUGUACACACCGCCCGUCACACCAUGGGAGUGGGUUGCAAAAGAAGUAGAUAGUCUAACCGCAAGGGGGACGUUUA